UGCACAUAAACAGGAUUUCUGUGUGUGAGUGUGUGUGGCAGCGCUGCUCUACAGCGCCCCUGUAGUCUGGCCGCGGAACUGCGCCUCUACACACACUGACGCGAUACACACACUUUACCUGCUGCUCAUGCGCGAAUCACCGGACCACACCACCGUUAAUUACCGUUAAUCAAUCUUCAUCGACGGAUUCAUCAAUCAGUACAGAGAACGGAGUGAGGUUUGUGAUUCCCGGGGAGACGCUGAAUCGAGCGCCGGUGAUGAGGCCUGCUCUCGGGGAAGAGGCGGAGGAUCACGGUGUCAACGCCGCCGACGAGACGAAACAAAACCGAAUAUAAAGAAGCUGCAUCAUGAAGAAGACUGUGGUCUUUGGCAGCGAGGGACAUUAUUCCUGAAGAAGAAAUGACACACGACUGCGGAGCAAGUGACUGGCUUCAGAGAAAGGUUUCACUGCUUUUAUCAUGUUUACAAAUGUGAGAUGCAGAUUCUUUAACACUUGGACUAUUUUCUGAAGGGACCUAAAGAUCCUGUACUUGUACAUAUAGUGUUGUCACGCUCGUGGACCUUUC